GAUGAAGAACGCAGCGAAAUGCGAUAAGUAGUGUGAAUUGCAGAAUUCAGUGAAUCAUCGAAUCUUUGAACGCACAUUGCGCCCGCCAGUAUUCUGGCGGGCAUGCCUGUUCGAGCGUCAUUACAACCCUCAGGCCCCCGGGCCUGGCGUUGGGGAUCGGCGGAAGCCCCCUGCGGGCACAACGCCGUCCCCCAAAUACAGUGGCGGUCCCGCCGCAGCUUCCAUUGCGUAGUAGCUAACACCUCGCAACUGGAGAGCGGCGCGGCCACGCCGUAAAACACCCAACUUCUGAAUGUUGACCUCGAAUCAGGUAGGAAUACCCGCUGAACUUAAGCAUAUCAAUAAGCAGAGGA
rnacentral:misc_RNA from 1 species